GGUGGACCAACGUCCGUGUACCAGGCCGUCUACCUUUUGGGCUGAGCCGUGGAACAAUUACGUCGGAGCGAACCUGAGCCGUUCUGGAAGCCUGCCGCCGGCACGGACGGGCUGCCCUUCCCCAAGGCUGCGGGAGGCUGCGGUUCCUCCGGCGGCCGGCGAUGCAAGAUGCUGGGCUUGAAUCCUUCUGGAUGCGGUCGACCAGUUUCCGGUGCGAGCGGAGUUCGCGGACAGCCUGGAACAUCCAGAUCCGGUGCCUCUUGCGGUGCUCCCGCGACGUGAUGUCACCCCUGCUACGCCGGCGGAUUCGAAUGCUGGCUCCGGGUGCAGGCAGCACGUUGGUUGCGCUAGCCCUGGGAGGACGCAGGGUGAAAAUCGCUGUCGACGGCCGGGCUCUCCGACGAGGUCUGCGCAGUCCACCCACAGGGUAAAUCCAGAGGCGCCGGGAUGGACCAAAAGGUUAAAUCUUGGGAGUGCGCCACCGGACAGAACGCCGUGUCCAUAUAGGAUGAGUGCUUUAGAGCAGUCAAUUCGCAAGUAUGCCCCUGCUCCCCGCUCGUCGCAGUCCUGGCAUCCCGCUUGUCCCCACAUGCGUCGUCUUUCUGUCUCCGCCGGUGCCGCCACUACUCGCUGCUCGUUGCUGCCAGUCGAGCAAGAUCUCUGGUGCUGCGGUGGACAAGCACAAGACGCCAACGGAGGAAGAGAAUAGGAAUCCGGCGUGGGAGGAUGAGGAGGACAAGGAUCAGGCGAGAAAGGAGGUGGUUAUAGGUCUGAUACUUAGCAUGAUUUAUUUUCAGUAUUCUCUGUAGUUUAUAAGCAGCAAAUGCCACCAGGGAAUGCUCCAUGUUGUAAGAAAAUUGUGAAUUCUGAACCUAGUCAAGUGCUUCUACUACAAGGUACUAUAUAGGUACCUGAUAUUUGGAAACUGUCAAAUCCCUUUACCCGCUCACACAAUAUCCCUGAAACAGCAACUGUUCCACUGAUUUUCUUCUGAAACAGCAACUGUUACAAUGAAGAAAAAGCCAUCACUGGUUUGUCACAGCAGAAGGUGGGUGCAGGAGAUGAUGAUGAUGAUGCGCUGCUAAUAUUGGACUUGCCAGCGCAAAGGGUCAUUUUUGCGGCAGCCCAGAGAUAGGAAAACUGUGUCUAGUCAAGACCUACUUAGCAACAAAGAGACAGGUCUUCAGAGCAGCUGCCAUUGACUUGGAAAAGUUCAGCACUAAAAUUUGAUGUUCAGGAGAACCAAAUUCAUCAUAAAUAAGGGGCUGCCAUUGACUUGUCGUUCAUCGCAAAGUUCAGGAGAAUCUGAAUGUAUGUUCAGAACUAUGAAAUCUGGUGUUCAAGCACAUGUUCAGGAUGUGAAAUCUGAAACCUGAAUCUGAUGUUUAAGCUAGCAGUGAUGUAUGCUCACUGAAAUUAUGUUAGUUUUAAAACUGCUCGUUGCUGCAUUUGAUAAACUGAAUCUAACACUGUAUCAAAUGGAUCGAAGAUUUGCUCGUUGCUGCAAGUCUUAAUGUAGUUUUAACAUUGUUCAGGACUGAAAUCUGAAUCUGAAACUGAUACAAAGCUA